CCACCCACACCAAGAGCCCCCAGUGUCGCCGGCCACCCCAGCUCGGCCCGCCCGGCGACACUCGGGGCUCUUGGCGUGGGCCA
rnacentral:pre_miRNA from 1 species